UACGGAGGGUGCAAGCGUUGCUCGGAAUUAUUGGGCGUAAAGGGGAGGUAGGUGGUCUCGUUUGUCAGAGGUGAAAUCCCUAGGCUUAACCUAGGACGUGCCUCCGAAACGGCGAGACUAGAGUACUGGAGAGGUUAGCGGAAUACCCGGUGUAGCGGUGAAAUGCGUAGAGAUCGGGUGGAACACCAGAGGCGAAGGCGGCAAACUGGACAGUUACUGACACUAAACUCCGAAAGCGUGGGGAGCAAACAGGAUUAGAAACCCCCGUAGUCC
rnacentral:rRNA from 1 species